GACGCAGCAUGCCGCGUGAUGAGAAGGCCUUCGGGUUGUAAAGUUCUUUCGGUGACGAGGAAGGUUGUUGUGUUAAUAGCGCAACAAAUUGACGUUAAUCACAGAAGAAGCACCGGCUAACUCCGUGCCAGCAGCCGCGGUAAUACGGAGGGUGCGAGCGUUAAUCGGAAUAACUGGGCGUAAAGGGCACGCAGGCGGCUAUUUAAGUGAGGUGUGAAAUCCCCGGGCUUAACCUGGGAAUUGCAUUUCAGACUGGGUAGCUAGAGUACUUUAGGGAGGGGUAGAAUUCCACGUGUAGCGGUGAAAUGCGUAGAGAUGUGGAGGAAUACCGAAGGCGAAGGCAGCCCCUUGGGAAUGUACUGACGCUCAUGUGCGAAAGCGUGGGGAGCAAACA
rnacentral:rRNA from 1 species